GGUGCCACUGCCAGGUACGGGAGCACUGGAGCUUUUAUGGCCUGCUGCCCUAUGAGCUGUGUUUCACAUGAUAUUAUUCGCAAAAGUCUAUAAUGAACUUCAUAUAUAUAUAAAUUGGUGAUUCAAUAUGAAGCACAGUCACUGUAUCGCUGGACAGUGGCCCGGCGAUUGCAGCGGCUGCACAGGUCAUGGUGGCGGAGGGAGGAACAGAUGAGGUUCAGCUGAUACAGUGACUGUGCUGAUGCAGGCGAGAGCUCCUCAUGUUCUAUAUGUUUAAGCAACACCUCUGUGUCGUUGAUCAGGGGCCAUGUUUAGCCGGUGCUGUAGCAAGGUCCUCGGUGAGUUGGAGCUGUAGUAGUAGUGAGUUCAUGUUGCCAGGUAGAAGUUUUAGCCUAAGACCGUAGUUGGUUUGCUGUGGAUGGAAAUGGACAGGCAGAUGUAUGAGCCUGUGUUUGUUGUGGGUCUGUACCGGUAGUGUGGACGUUGGUGUCGUGUCAAGAAACCACAGCAGGCUGGAUGCCUCAGCUGUCACUGUUGUAUGGGUCAUGUUCGUCCUAGUUAAUGAAAUGAUGUUGCUUGGGUGUCAUCUCUACUAUAAUUGAAAUCUUCUCCAGACAAAUCCCACCAACAAGAUCAACGACUCACAACAUAUGUCAUACAGAUUAGACGGCCCAGAUUAGAAGUAUGAUCACGACCUUACAUCACAUCUCUACUCUUUGGAGGACCGCGUCGGGCUGGCCUCAAGCGCUAAUUCUCCCCGCGAUCCGGCUCACCGUAGUUCUUCCCGGCCAAGAAGCGGAGGCCCUCGUCGCGCAAGGACGAGUCGCCGCGACCCGAGACGCAGCAUGAGAGCCCCGGCGGCGCCAAGGGGUCCCUAGAGGGCUACCUCGCCCGUUCGCUUUCCACCCGUGCCGCGGCGGCGGCAUCGGUGCUCCCCGUGAGGUCGCCCAGCGGCGGGGACCCGGGCGCCAGGCGGAGCCUCUCGGCCGCAAUGGAUGUCGAUGUCGGUUCCUCGGCUCCGGUGGUGGCGGUGGUAGGUGACGGGGCAGACUUUGAUCUCAAGAGGAGCACGGCGGACUUCUUGUCCCAUUCUUGGCCCGACGCAGUAGACCGGCGGCGUGGGGCGGUCCGGCACGCACAGCCCGUCCCUGAGCGCCCACAUCGCGCGCGGCUCCAGCGACUCGAAGGAGUUGAUGAGGAUGCCGCGGGCUUCCGGCAUCCGGGCAGCCACGCCGAUGAUGCCCUUGCACGCCUCGCCGUCGUCCGCCAGCCCCUGCGCCAGGUCCGCAACCGUGAACGGAGGAGCGCCCGGGAACGACAGGACGGCGGAGUUCCCGAGCGCCGCGAAGCUGGUGCCCACUCUGGCGCGCAUGGCGGGGAGGCCGAGGAAGCAGGCGAGGCCGGCGGUGCCCGAGGGGAAGAAGAAGUAGGCGGGCAGGCCAAGCUCGGCGGCGACGUCGAGCGCGUCGGCGCAGAACAUGUCGAGGACGAUCGCCUGGACGCAGCGACGACGACGACGACGACGACGACAGCGCGCGAAGGAAGUCGCGGAGCGGCGCAUUCGUGGCGCGGAGGAAGCGGAGCAUCCGGGCCAAGGGGACAUCAGGCUCGGCGUCGUCGGAGGCCGCCGGCGGCGGCGGUGGCGGGGGAAGCACGUGCAAGGCGACGGAGGCGUUGGAGGCCUUGGCGCGCGCGACCGUGGAGGCGAAGCCGUUGGCGUAGACGGGCGGCUCGAAGACCGCGAUGGCGACGUCGACCUGGUCUCCACCGUGGCGGAGGAACGCCUUGGCCAGCUCGAGCAUCGGCGCGAGGUGGCCGACGCCGACGCCCGGAUACAGCACCACCGUCUUCUUCUCCAUGGCUCGCCCGGCUAACGACGUACUCAACUGCUAGCUGGGCACCAGCGGCACUGCCCGGCCGCGUCUUUCUGGAAAGUUGCUGCUAGCCACUAGAGUAAUCUUGUUGCUCGAGUGCUAUCCUGCUUUUGACGGGUGACUGUGAUUACAGCGAGCAGUGGGGGAUGAAACAGAAGCGGAGUGCGACCCAGUCAUUCUUGAUUCCUUGUGACAAUGACUGUGUCAAGAAGCAGCGAGUUGCCCAUUGUGGUGGUUUGGAAGCUCUAAAGGUUGGACCAAGAUACACUAUCUUUCCAUCCUUAGCGUCAUCAUUUAAUAAGUGAUUCAUGAGUUUCAACUCUUAGUUUGGUUCUUUGCAGGAGUUAGAUGAUAAUGUAGCUUCCAUGAAACAAUGCAUCAAUCACCAUGGUGGGUCAGAGGCUGUGGAGGUUUGGUUAUGCCUUAACAAGUCAAAUCUGGAACCGUUUCUUUAUUUUUCUUUUUUUUCCCUUUUGAACUUCUCAUUAUGUUCUUUUCAGCAGGAAUCUUUUGAGGGGGAACAAUGAUCUAGAUCAUCUGAAACUUCUGAACAGGAGUAUUUUAAUUUCUCUUUAGCCUUAUGUAUAAUUUAGUGUUUACUUGUCUUCUUGGCAUUGCGUGAUAGACUGGUGCCUGAUUUUGUUAGGCAUUUUUUGUUUUAUUAUUCCUUUAAUCGAUCUCUACAAUUUUGUUUUUCUUGCUUGUUUGUCCAAUAAGGCAGGUAUACAUCUACACUAACUACAAUUGUUACCAAAGUUACAAGACAAAUGAUGGGCAUUUGUAGAUCAGUUGUGUUUCUCAACUUUUCUACAUAGCAUUUGUUAAAAUCAAAUAUAUGUUCCCAAAUGAAAUACUGUAAUUUUCAUAUAGACUUUUUUGUUAGUGGGGUAGGUUUGUUUUUUAGUUUUAUGAUUUUUUUUAGUUUUAUAAUUUUUUUCUAAUGUCACCGUAGCGUUAGCACGGGUAAUAUACUAGUCUAUCAUCUGUGUGAUUUCUUGGAAGCCAAAAUUGUGAUUUCUUCGAAGACUUGGUGCCACUGCCAGGUACGGGAGCACUGGAGCUUUUAUGGCCUGCUGCCCUAUGAGCUGUGUUUCACAUGAUAUUAUUCGCAAAAGUCUAUAAUGAACUUCAUAUAUAUAUAAAUUGGUGAUUCAAUAUGAAGCACAGUCACUGUAUCGCUGGACAGUGGCCCGGCGAUUGCAGCGGCUGCACAGGUCAUGGUGGCGGAGGGAGGAACAGAUGAGGUUCAGCUGAUACAGUGACUGUGCUGAUGCAGGCGAGAGCUCCUCAUGUUCUAUAUGUUUAAGCAACACCUCUGUGUCGUUGAUCAGGGGCCAUGUUUAGCCGGUGCUGUAGCAAGGUCCUCGGUGAGUUGGAGCUGUAGUAGUAGUGAGUUCAUGUUGCCAGGUAGAAGUUUUAGCCUAAGACCGUAGUUGGUUUGCUGUGGAUGGAAAUGGACAGGCAGAUGUAUGAGCCUGUGUUUGUUGUGGGUCUGUACCGGUAGUGUGGACGUUGGUGUCGUGUCAAGAAACCACAGCAGGCUGGAUGCCUCAGCUGUCACUGUUGUAUGGGUCAUGUUCGUCCUAGUUAAUGAAAUGAUGUUGCUUGGGUGUCAUCUCUACUAUAAUUGAAAUCUUCUCCAGACAAAUCCCACCAACAAGAUCAACGACUCACAACAUAUGUCAUACAGAUUAGACGGCCCAGAUUAGAAGUAUGAUCACGACCUUACAUCACAUCUCUACUCUUUGGAGGACCGCGUCGGGCUGGCCUCAAGCGCUAAUUCUCCCCGCGAUCCGGCUCACCGUAGUUCUUCCCGGCCAAG
rnacentral:lncRNA from 1 species